UACGUAGGGGGCAAGCGUUGUCCGGAAUCAUUGGGCGUAAAGAGCGCGUAGGCGGCCCUGUAAGUCCGCUGUGAAAGUCAAGGGCUCAACCCUUGAAUGCCGGUGGAUACUGCAGGGCUAGAGUCCGGAAGAGGCGAGUGGAAUUCCUGGUGUAGCGGUGAAAUGCGCAGAUAUCAGGAGGAACACCGGUGGCGAAGGCGGGUCUCUGGGCAUUAACUGACGCUGAGGAGCGAAAGCAUGGGGAGCGAACAGG
rnacentral:rRNA from 1 species